rnacentral:rRNA from 1 species
UACAGAGGGGGCAAGCGUUAUUCGGAAUUAUUGGGCGUAAAGGGCGCGUAGGCGGCUUGGCAAGUGGAAGGUGAAAUCCCUCGGCUUAACCGAGGAACUGCCUUCCAGACUGCUUUGCUUGAGGCCGGGAGAGGCGAGUGGAAUUCCCAGUGUAGCGGUGAAAUGCGUAGAUAUUGGGAGGAACACCAGUGGCGAAGGCGGCUCGCUGGACCGGUUCUGACGCUGAGGAGCGAAAGCCAGGGGAGCAAACGGG